UACGUAGGGAGCAAGCGUUGUCCGGAAUCAUUGGGCGUAAAGCGCGCGUAGGUGGCCACAUAAGUCCGUUGUGAAAGUCAAAGGCUCAACCUUUGAAAGCCGAUGGAUACUGUGUGGCUAGAGUACGGAAGAGGCGGGUGGAAUUCCUGGUGUAGCGGUGGAAUGCGCAGAUAUCAGGAGGAACACCAAUAGCGAAGGCAGCUCGCUGGGACGUUACUGACACUGAGGCGCGAAAGCGUGGGGAGCGAACAGG
rnacentral:rRNA from 1 species